rnacentral:lncRNA from 1 species
GUGGAAUGAAAGGAUAUAGAAGUAAUAUAUCUUCAUAAAGAUAGCUGGCCACUAAAGGUAUCAACAUGAACACACAGGAAAGGUGUGUAAGGGGUAUGGGAUUGAGAUCCACAGGUUUCUUGUGAUAUGCAUGUGAUGAGGCUUAGUGGUGCAGCUAUUGACCACAUGGAAUGUUAUGCAAAGACCCCCUGUAUGGCAUAUUCUCUUUUGUGGCGAUGAGGCAUGUAUGACAUGUGUG